rfam:Tilletiaria anomala TBC 951 K437scaffold_96, whole genome shotgun sequence.
GGCGUGAUGCCGGAGUGGUCAUCGGGAACGCCUAGAAUUCGUUCUAGUCCAUAGUGGAUGACAGCGUUUGGGCUCUGCCCGCACAGGUUCGAAUCCUGUUCACGUCG